UAUUGUUGUUUGAUGGAAGUAUGUUUUUUUUAGGGUAACUUGCUAAGUGGUAACUAAUAACUACCACAAGUUUUUACAGCCAGUGGAAAGGCUUGAGGUUUCUUCUAAGACAAUGAAAGAACUUGGUAUGACAGAUUAAUAAAGGCAGCAUGUGGUCUAUUAUAUGAACAGUAGACUUUAAGGAGACAGGGAGGGUGGAGAGGGACCAAGUAAAACAUUUCUACAAUGGCUCAAGUCAAAGUUGAUUAUGACAUAGACAAAGACAAGAAAUAAAUAGAAGUUAUCAAAAAGGCUUGGUUUGGAAGAUCUCUUAGAGAUAGGAAUGAAAAGAGGGGGGUGGUGGGAGAAAGAACUACAGAAAUGUUCCAGAUUUACUACUCGAUAUAUAUUUUUAAAAAAAUUCUCCAAAGCUCAGAAUAGAGAAUUUGCCAAAAAGCCCAUCACUCAUGAUUCAUUUGUCAUAAGCCUCUACUCAUUACCAUGAAAUUAUUCAGUCAUAAUUGCUGUCUUACUGAAGCAUACAGUUGACACAGUGAAGUCUCUGCUUUCACAGAACUUUAUACUUCUGAGUAAUGACUUUGUCUAUGCCAUGGGAUGGACGUCCUAUUCAUAUUGUGUCAAUAAACCUCAAUUAACAAUGUAAAAUUAAUGAAAAUAAUGUGAGUUAUUUAUAUUAGUUUAUGUGGUAGAAGAGUACUUAAUGACAACAAACUUGGUGUAUGUGAAUAUUAAAUUAUUGUAAAUUAUUUAAAAACAAUAAGAACUAGCCUUACAUUUCACCCCCCUGGACACUGUUUUCAAGAGAAGGAAGGAAACAUUCAAGAAAAAAUAAGAUAUAACUUAGCAUAAAUAAACAGAAAGAAUAUAAAUCUCUUUCACUUUUCUUUUUUUUAAUUUGGCAAUAGAACUGUUGAUAUUACCACACUAUCUGGCUCUCUCUUUUUCCUUUAUCAGUAAACUACCCACAUUUUAACUGGGCACAUUCCUGUCAAUCUGAUGAGAAUCUAUUUCAUACCCUGCUUUAGCUGGUAGUCUGUCAAGGAAAUGAGCUGAACAUGUCUGUGUACAGCUUUUGUGCCAUCCCUGGAUGAGCGAGCUGUCUGCCUCUAUGUUCUCCACAAAAUGGAAUAUAGCUGUACACCCAAGCCAAGUUAUGGAGGCUGGGAAGACCUAGAAUGUGGCAUCACUAUUUGCUGAAAUUUUUAAUAUAAUGCCUCUUAGCCUGGUUUGGAGAAAACGUCACAGAGAGGCACCAUUUGUUGUGGUUUUACAUGAAAAUUUUCUGACCCUGAACCUGGUUUGAUGGAAAUCAUUUGCUGAGGAAACCAUGCCGAUUACCGACCGAGCUCUCAAUGGAAAAAUGCAGUCGGCGUGAACCACGCACGAACACAGCAGAGAAAGAAGAAAACACACACCACGAGGAACCCUAAUAGGACAAUACAUUAUAAGUCACAGUGCUACGGAGAAACCCAGUAGCCACAUGGAAGCAGAGACCAUGCAUAUGCAUCUACUCCGCAGCUCUGUGAAUGUCAGCAGCUCCCACGGACUGGAGAUCCCGUGAGAUCCCGUGAGAUCUCACCCAUAGCCUCAUGGUACAUCCACUUGGUGUGCUGGGAGAGUCAGGAUGAGGACCUGAGAAGAACAGCAGCUUGAACCUGACUUCAUUUAACAGCCCACUGCCCUCUUGCCAAGAACCCAUCACAGACCUUCCCAGAAGAGAGGGAUGAGCCUCACCUAUGAAUAAGUCCUCAGAAACUCAAAUUUGAUUCUAAUGGAUUGUUUUCUCAGAAAGACUGAGCAUGUCCCCCCACAUCUCUGUCAUUUCCCACAGUAGUAACCUCUGCAGAUGCCACAUAGAAAACAAAACAAAACAAAAAAACAUGAGGUUGGUGGGCAGAUAGGCAGGGUAUAAACAAACAGCCUUGUAACCCAGAAGCUGUGUGAUAUACAGUAAACUUCACAACACUGAAAAGAUGUCCUAUCUGUUAAAAUGGGGUAAUAACAACUACCCGAAUGUUUAGGAAUAGAACUUCAAUAAAUGAUACAUUUUAUAGUACAGCAGACCAUCCUGUAAAGGUUUCAUCCUUCACUGUGGUGAUAAAUAUCCCAAACCACAUUGAAAAGCAUUGCAUCUACAUUUAUCUACACUGUAACUGUACUGUAAAUCAUGGGGGAGGGGAGAAUCAUAAAAACACCACCUGUCACCGUGUCAUUAAAGCAAGUUGGAAGUGAUACUUACAGAAACACAGCAAGAGCACCCCCAGUCACACAGUUCAAUCUCUUAGCAAGCGUUUUCUUUCUAGCCCAGUGGUUCUCAGUUUGGAAUUUUUGGCACUGCCUAGAGAUAGUUUUGUUGUUAAAACUGAGAAAAGAGCCGGGCGUGGUGGCACACGCCUUUAAUCCCAGCACUCAGGAGGCAGAGGCAGG
rnacentral:lncRNA from 1 species